ACAAAACAAAAUGGCGUUAUAAAAUGCGGACUGUUGUCUAAAUGUCGCGUUUUUAAGGUUUUAGGAAGUAUCUAACGUUAAACCCUGACAUACUCUUUUCUUUCUUGGGUAAAGCUGCCAACAAUGAUAAGCCCAGAUAUGGAAGUUAUAAAGGAGGUGCCGGGGUACAGAGUUAUCCUUAAGGCCGUCCUUAAAUCACAAAUACAGCAAUUGAUUGAACAGCUAGCAUUGGCCACAAAUGAAGAGUCCAUCAUUCUGACAGCCAGUGUGGCUGACGGCACCCUGAGUCACCUUGGCUCUGACUCAGCGAAAGGUUUCCUCCAGGACCAUGAAGAUGUCAAGUCACAAUUCCUGGGAUACUGCCUUAAAACACACCAUAGAAAGAAGCAAGAGGAAGAAAGAAGAAUAGCAGAAGAGGCCCAGGUACGCCUGCAACAACAACAACAGCAGGUCACACCCUCAAAGUUUAGCCCUGGGGACCCUAGGGGUAGUUUCCGGGCAAGGUCCCCAAGAUUUAUGGCCCCAAGACAGCAAGGAGCCCUCCACCCAGUGACUUUGACCCGGGCUGGUCCCGGGGUAAGGCAUGAGCCAUACAGCAUUCAGUCGCCUAGGAGGCAGAUGGCUUCUUCAAAUUCAGGGCCAGGGGCUUCCCAAGCUAAGAAAGUGAAAACUGAGCCAGAAGAUACAGAAAGUGCUGGAGAGGACAGUUUUCAUAAUGUGGCAAAUGAGGAUGAAAACUCCAAGUCAAGUGUGGGUCAGAAUGAUGGAAAUCAGGAGGGACUAGGCCUUGGUGCUGAGUUCUCUAACUUUAUGUCUGGUGACAAUACUGAACAUGGCAAUAAUUCUCAAGGUGACUUUGGUGCUGUUGAUCCAAAUGUGAAAGUAAAACUUGAGCAAACAACUGAUGCUGAUAUGGAUGAGUUAGAAAUCACUGGUGUUGAACCAGGUCAUGUUAUGGCCCCUCCCCCAGACAGCUGGGACCCUAAUGUGUCCAUGACAGCAGACCCAACAGGUGCUUCAGGUUCCCAGGAAGACAUGGCAUCACAGCAAGGAUACACUCGGACCUUUUCAUGUGAAGAAUGUGGGAGAACAUUUGUAACAAAGUUUUCCCUCCUCCGCCAUCUAAGGCUCCACUCAGCAGAACCCACACCAUACAUGUGCAGCACUUGUGGUAAAAAGUUCCAGCGUACAGAUCACAUGCGCAGACAUGAGCUCUAUGUUCAUACUGAAGCUCUUCCAAAAAUUAGGGAGGAGAAAACGGAGGAGUGUUUAUGUGCCCAGUGCGGAAAGUCGUGCAGAUCCAAGCAAGCUUUGCGGGAUCAUCAAAAAUGCACACAUCAAAAAAAUCAUGUGUGUGAAUUAUGUGGACAUAGAUUUGGGAAACGAACUGACUUGGCUCGACACACCAAAUCUCAUUUAGGGGAAAAGGAGCAAUGUCCACAAUGUGGCGAGCAGUUCAGGAGUUUGCAAAAUCAUUUGAAAAAUUGUAAUCCUAAUAAUGUAAAUAUCAUUAAAGAAUUUUCUUGUGACCUUUGUGGGAAAUUAUUUAGUUGUAAGCGAUACCUAUCUCAACACAAGAUUUCAUCACAUAUGCAUAGAAAGUAUAGAUGCCAGUUCUGUCCAGAAGAGUUCAAACACCGGUCCUCAAGAUUAAAGCACAUAGUUAAGCUUCAUCCCAAACCCUCAUGAGAACUUAUGAAACAUUUGUGUUGUAUGAUAUUUAGUGAACAUGAGGUAGUGACAUAAUGAUUGCAACUGUUUUUUUCUGACUAAAUCAGUGAAAUUUGCUUUCAAAUCAAGGGAUGUGCCAGAAGAUUUGUGAACACCUCUGUAAGGCCAAACAAAAUAAUAUGUAUGGUUCUGGAGACCCAACUGACCCUAAAUUUGAAGCCCUGACCAUACUCUUUUUUUUCUGUGAUUCUGGGGAAAUAUAUUGUCAGAAUAUACAAGUUUCAUCCACCUUCAGGCAUCAGCUGUCAAAAGAUGCGUCUGGGGAUAAUCCUUACUAGGAUUUUAUUGCAUUUUUAAAAAAAAAUAAUUGGAGAUAUAUUGAAGCAGUUUCAAACUUAGGAGGUCAAGGUUGUUCUGAAGUUACACCGUAGCGUUACAUUCAAUUCUUUUAAAUAAUACUCUAGAGUUUAGUAGUAUUAACCUUGUGUGUAGGAAAUGAAUAGUAUUUAUCAUCUUGUUCUAACUAGUAACUGUGUCUAUCAAUAGCAGCAGUUGAACUCAUUGACCUCAGUAACUCGGCUCUUUAUGUAAAUUAACAGGUACCUUCCAGUGAUUUUUCUUGGUAAAAUUUACUGCCUUCUAAAGACUGUUCCCCCUUGCGAAAAAAUGUCCAUUUUUCCCCAAAAUUUGUAAAUUUUCCCAUUUCAGUGAACACAGUUUACUUGAAUGAAUAAGUUUCUUGAAAAAUAAACAAGAUCUUUGCAAUGCCACUUUUAAUUUAGUAUAAUUUGUGCAUUAAAAAUACUCAAAACAUGUUUAUUUUCUAUAAUAUUACAUAUCUUAACAAGAUGGAAGGCACAGGCAGUAAAAAAAAAAAUUCAAAAAAAUAAUCACUGGCAGUUUUCGCGAACUACAAUGGCUGUGGAAAACAACAAUGCUAAAGUAUCAAUAUCAAAAUUGAUAUUUUAUUUAUUUCGUUUAUAAUUAGAGGAUUUCAAAUGAGUGUUUAUUUUGUAUGGAAUUUAUUAAACGAGUUCAUUUUAAAAUGAUAAAAGCUAGGCUCUUUUUUAUUUAGGGGUGGUGGUGGGGUUGGCUCUGGUUGGAAAUUAUGCAAAAACCACUCAUUGUGCAACUUUGUUACAUUGUAGGUUUAAUAGCAUGCUACAGAAGGUACAAAAAAGCAGUGUUUAGUAUUCUAUACAUAUAGUCAGAAGUGGUAGAAAAUACUUUAAUAUGAAUAAGAAAAAGGGCAUGCAACUUAAAAAAAAGAAGACAAAACAGACCUACCUACCUACCCUUCUUAUUAUGCCCCCUUUUGAAAAAAGUGGGGUAUAUUGUUUUGCACAUGUCGGUCGGUCGGUCGGUCGGUCGGUCGGUCUGUCGGUCGGUCGGUCGGAAUACCAAAUGGUUUCCGAUCAAUAACUUGAGAACGCUUUGACCGAGGGACCUCAUACUUGGUAUGUGUAUUGGUCAUCACCAGCAGAUGAACCCUAUUGAUUUUGAGGUCAGUGGGUCAAAGGUCAAGGUCAGUGUGACCUUUACAUGAAAAACGGUUUCCGAUCAAUAACUUGAGAACGCUUUGACCCAGGAACCUCAUACUUGGUAGGUGUAUUGGUCAUGACCAGCAGAUGAACCCUAUUGAUUUUGAGGUCAGUGGGUCAAAGGUCAAGGUCAGUGUGACCUUAACAUGAAAAACGGUUUCCGAUCAAUAACUUGAGAACGCUUUGACCCAGGGACCUCAUACUAGGUAGGCUUAUUGGUCAUGACCAGCAGAUGAACCCUAUUGAUUUUGAGGUCAGUGGGUCAAAGGUCAAGGUCAGUGUGACCUUUACAUGAAAAACGGUUUCCGAUCAAUAACUUGAGAACGCUUUGACCCAGGGACCUCAUACUUGGUAGGUGUAUUGGUCAUCACCAGCAGAUGAACCCUAUUGAUUUUGAGGUCAGUGGGUCAAAGGUCAAGGUCAGUGUGACCUUUACAUGAAAAACGGUUUCCGAUCAAUAACUUGAGAACGCUUUGACCCAGGGACCUCAUACUUGGUAGGUGUAUUGGUCAUGACCAGCAGAUGAACCCUAUUGAUUUUGAGGUCAGUGGGUCAAAGGUCAAGGUCAGUGUGACCUUAACAUGAAAAACGGUUUCCGAUCAAUAACUUGAGAACGCUUUGACCCAGGGACCUCAUACUAGGUAGGCUUAUUGGUCAUGACCAGCAGAUGAACCCUAUUGAUUUUGAGGUCAGUGGGUCAAAGGUCAAGGUCAGUGUGACCUUUACAUGAAAAACGGUUUCCGAUCAAUAACUUGAGAACGCUUUGACCCAGGGACCUCAUACUUGGUAGGUGUAUUGGUCAUGACCAGCAGAUGAACCCUAUUGAUUUUGAGGUCAGUGGGUCAAAGGUCAAGGUCAGUGUGACCUUAACAUGAAAAACGGUUUCCGAUCAAUAACUUGAGAACGCUUUGACCCAGGGACCUCAUACUAGGUAGGCUUAUUGGUCAUGACCAGCAGAUGAACCCUAUUGAUUUUGAGGUCAGUGGGUCAAAGGUCAAGGUCAGUGUGACUGUAAGCUGAAAAAAGGUUUUCUGAUUGUCCAUAUUUUUUUAAUGCAUGCACAGAUGAUUGGGAUUGAUGUAUAAAUGUUUGUAUAGAAAUGAUUUUCUUUUAUGUUACUAUUUUAGUUGGGCAUUUAUUUGCCUUCUUAAGUUAUCAUAAGUAGAUGACCUGCCUCAUAUGCAUCCAAUGACAAAUCAGCUGUCAUUUCAGUCCAUGCAUAUUUCAUUCAAUUGUCCAAAUAUUUCUGGCAACUUGGCGCUCAGGGGGCAUAAUGUUUGACAAACAUCUCUUGUUUUUUAAGACAUGUCACUGAAAACAUAUUAUUUUAUUUGGCCUAAUUGUCUCUACA